rnacentral:rRNA from 1 species
AUUAAGUUAAUUAAUGUACGUAGUGGAUGCCUCGGCUCAAAAUUCCGAUGAAGGACGUGGUUAGCUGCGAUAUGCUUCGGCGAGCUGUUAGCAAGCUUUGACCCGGAGAUUUCCGAAUGGGGGAACCCAUACCGAGUCAUGUCGGUAUACAUUUUGCUUUAGGCAAAAUGAGGCGACUUGGUGAACUGAAACAUCUAAGUAACCAAGGAAAAUAAAUCAAACGAGAUUCCCUUAGUAGUGGCGAGCGAACAGGGAACAGCCCAAACCAUAGCUUCGGCUAUGGGGUUGCGGACCCCGAUAUGUACUUACUCUUAUUAGUCGAACAACUCUGGAAAGGUUGGCAAAACAGGGUGAUAGCCCCGUAGACGAAAAUAAGAUAAAGCGCUAGGGAGAUCCAGAGUAGGGUCGGACACGUGUAAUCCGGCUUGAAGCAGGGAGGACCACCUUCCAAGGCUAAAUAGAUUUUGAGACCAAUAGUGAACAAGUACCGUGAGGGAAAGGUGAAAAGCACCCCGGGAGGGGAAUGAAAUAGUAUCUGAAACUACGUAUUUAUAAAGAGUCGAAGCACCUCGAGUGCGACGGCGUACUUUUUGUAGAACGGGCCAACGAGUUAGCUGUAUAAGGCUGGUUAAGGGAUUUAUACCUGGAGCCAUAGUGAAAGCGAGCGUGAAUAACGCGACAUAUAGUCUUAUACACUAGACCCGAAACCGAGUGAGCUAUCCAUGGGCAGGCUGAAGCUUUGGUAAAACGAAGUGGAGGGCCGAACACAAGUCAGUUGCAAGUGGCUGUGAUGACCUGUGGAUAGAGGUGAAAUGCCAAUCGAACUCGGAAAUAGCUGGUUCUCCUCGAAAUAGCUUUAGGGCUAGCCCUAUGUUCGAACUUUACGGGGGUAGAGCUCUGUUUAGGCUAGGGGGUUCACUAAACCUACCAAACCUUGAUAAACUUCAAAUACCGUAAACGGAUUCAUAGGAGUCAGACUAUGACAGCGAAGUGCCAUAGUCAAAAGGGAAACAGCCCAGACCAUCAUCUAAGGUCCCUAAUAUAGUUUAAGUGGAAAAGGAUGUGAGACUACACAGACAACCAGGAGGUUGGCUUAGAAGCAGCCAUUCCUUUAAAGAGUGCGUAAUAGCUCACUGGUCUAGUGGUUUUGCGCCGAAAAUAUAACGGGGCUAAAACUAUAACCGAAGAUGUGGACUUGUACUUUGUACAAGUGGUAGAGGAGCGUUCCCAUCAGCGUCGAAGUCGGACUGUGAGGUCUGGUGGAGCGGUGGGAAGUGAAAAUGUUGGCAUGAGUAACGUAAAUUCUGGUGAAAACCCAGGACACCAAAAGCCCAAGGGUUCCCACGCAACGGUAAUCGACGUGGGGUUAGUCGGUCCUAAGGCGUAGCCGAAAGGCAAAGUCGAUGGAUAACAGGUUAAUAUUCCUGUACAACUGUUAAUUCGCCCGAGCAAGACGGGAAGUAACUAUAUUCGGUGUUUACUCUUCGGAGUAUUCAUCAUUUGUGGAAGCUGAACGUGGCGCUAACUAAGGGGGGACGCAGGAGGUAACCACAGGCGCGUUAAUGAAUUCGCGUUGAAGCUGUAAGCUUAUGCUUUAGUUGGAAAAUCCGCUAGAGUUCGCGAGCAGUGAUCUAAAUUUUCUCUUAAUUGAGAAGAGAUCUGUGCACAUCUCUUGCCUAGAAAAUCCUCGUAGUGAGAAUUAGCGGUUACCGUACCGCAAACCGACACAGGUGGGCAAGUUGAGUAUACGAAGGUGUCGGGAUAACUAUGCUUAAGGAACUCGGCAAAACAGCAGGUGUAACUUCGGGAUAAACCUCGCCAAUGCCAUUUGAUUUAUCAUUUAGGUGUUGGCCGCAGCGAAAGCCUCCAGGCGACUGUUUACCAAAAACACAGGUCCGUGCUAAACCGUAAGGUGAUGUAUACGGGCUGACGCCUGCCCAGUGCCAGAAGGUUACGAGGAGGGGUGCAAGCUCUGAAUCUAAGCCCUGGUGAACGGCGGCCGUAACUAUAACGGUCCUAAGGUAGCGAAAUUCCUUGUCAGGUAAAAGAAUUUGCCUGAAUACGAUGGUGACAUCGUAUAUGUAUCCAGCUAAUAACGGUGAAGCCUAAAAUCUCCUCACCGGGAGAUUAAGGUAAUACCGUGGGAACCUCAUAAUUGAGGACCCGUAACGACUGAUCCGAAAGGUGAGACGCGGUUAACAAUAACUGCGUAAUACGCUGGCUCUCACAUAAAAAAAUGCAAUCAUGGAGAUCGGCAUUUAACCCCUAAAUUAUGGAUUUUAAAUCAUAUAUUACAGGGUUUGUCGACGGCGAAGGCUGUUUCUCGGUCUCAUUUACCAAAAGAUCCAAAUUAAAUACCGGGAUUGAGGUCAGACCAAGUUUCAGUGUUUCCCAAAAGAAGUUUUCAUUGGAUCUUCUCAAAAAAAUUCACGAAUACUUUACCUGCGGCGCCAUCAGAUAUUCAAAGAGCGAUGGAGUAUACAAGUACGAAGUGCGAAGUCUCAGUGACAUUACUUUGUACAUUAUUCCUCACUUCCAAAAAUAUCCCUUGCUAACCGCAAAAAGUAAAGAUUUUGAUCUCUUUGUUCAAAUAUGUCAAAUGAUGACAGCUAACUUACAUCGUAAUCAUGAGUAUUUAGCCAAAAUCAUUGACCUGGCUUACCAAAUGAACUGUAGUGGUAAGCGCAAGUAUCAACGAAAAGAUCUCCUAAAAUUGCUGUGAGAUGAAGAUAUAGUCUGAUCUAUGGUGAAAGCCAUAGCCUAACAAUUGAAGUUCUGACCCGCACGAAUGGCGUAACGGUCUGGAGACUGUCUCAAGCAUAGACCCGGUGAAAUUGCAAUAUCGGUAAAAAUGCCGAUUAAUUACAGGUAGACGGAAAGACCCCGUGCAGCUUUACUAUAGUUUGACAUUGAGUCGAGAUUUAGUUUGUGUAGGAUAGGUGGGAGACUUUGAAGCUUGGACGUCAGUCCGGGUGGAGUCGUCCUUGAAAUACCACCCUUGCUACAUUUUGCCUCUAACUCGUUAACAAAACGAGGACAUUGUUUGAUGGGUAGUUUAACUGGGGCGGUUGCCUCCUAAAGAGUAACGGAGGCGUACGAAGGUUCCCUAGCACCGGAUGGAAAUCGGUGUGAUAGUAUAUUCGCAUAAGGGAGCUUAACUGCAAGACCUACAAGUCGAGCAGAUGCGAAAGCAGGUGAAAGUGAUCCGAUACCACCAUGUGGGUGGGGUAUCGCUCAACGGAUAAAAGUUACGCCGGGGAUAACAGGCUUAUCUCCCCCAAGAGUUCACAUCGACGGGGAGGUUUGGCACCUCGAUGUCGGCUCGUCGCAUCCUGGGGCUGGAGAAGGUCCCAAGGGUAUGGCUGUUCGCCAUUUAAAGCGGUACGCGANNNNNNNNNNNNNNNNNNNNNNNNNNNNNNNNGUUUGGCCCCUAUCUCCUGUAAUCGAAGGAAAUUUGAGGGAAUCUAUUCCUAGUACGAGAGGACCGGAAUGGACGAACCACUGGUGUAUCAGCUGUCGUGUCAUCGGCAAUGCUGAGUAGCUACGUUCGGAAUGGAUAACCGCUGAAAGCAUCUAAGCGGGAAGCCAAUCCCAAGAUUAGAUUUCCCCAUUAGCCUGCCCAGAGACUAUGGGCUUGAUAGGCCUAAGGUGUAAGCACAGUGAUGUGUUCAGCCUACAGGUACUAAUAGGCGAUUGAACUUAA